rnacentral:misc_RNA from 1 species
GAAGAAGAACGCAGCGAAAUGCGAUAAGUAAUGUGAAUUGCAGAAUUCAGUGAAUCAUCGAAUCUUUGAACGCACAUUGCGCCCGCUAGUAUUCUGGCGGGCAUGCCUGUCCGAGCGUCAUUUCAACCCUCGGGAGCCCCUUUGCGGGGGCUGCCGGUGUUGGGGAUCGCCCGCCGCCAUGGUGGACGUCCCCUAAAACGAUUGGCGGUCUCGCUGUAGCCUCCUCUGCGCAGUAGCACUUGUUCUCGCAGGCGGAGCGCGGCGCGGCCAAGCCGUUAAACCCCCAACUUUUUUACUAGGUUGACCUCGGAUCAGGUAGGAAUACCCGCUGAACUUAAGCAUAUCAAUAAGCGGAGGA